rnacentral:rRNA from 1 species
AUGAACGCUGGCGGCGUGCCUAAUACAUGCAAGUCGAGCGAACAGAUAAGGAGCUUGCUCCUUUGACGUUAGCGGCGGACGGGUGAGUAACACGUGGGGAACCUACCUAUAAGACUGGAAUAACUCCGGGAAACCGGGGCUAAUGCCGGAUAACAUUUAGAACCGCAUGGUUCUAAAGUGAAAGAUGGUUUUGCUAUCACUUAUAGAUGGACCCGCGCCGUAUUAGCUAGUUGGUAAGGUAACGGCUUACCAAGGCAACGAUACGUAGCCGACCUGAGAGGGUGAUCGGCCACACUGGAACUGAGACACGGUCCAGACUCCUACGGGAGGCAGCAGUAGGGAAUCUUCCGCGAUGGGCGAAAGCCUGACGGAGCAACGCCGCGUGAGUGAUGAAGGUCUUCGGAUCGUAAAACUCUGUUAUUUGGGAAGAACAAAUGUGUAAGUAACUGUGCACGUCUUGACGGUACCUAAUCAGAAAGCCACGGCUAACUACGUG